UUUAUCUUUUGCCUGCAAUUCCAUUCCUUGACUAUUGGUGGCGCAGGUCUAGGAGUGCAAGUCAGAAACUGCUGCUGGAACUUAACAGCCACAGGUGUGUGACGAUGGAUACAGAUCCAAACACAACGCUCAAGCCUUGUUGGGAUUUCGCUGGAUCUGCACCAUGAUUAUUGCCUUGAAUUCAGGAACUUUAAGAACGCUGGACAAAACAGAAGACAUGUCACAUACAGAAUGCAGAAGUCCGACUACUGCCGAGUGCAGCUCAUCAUGACUGAAGUCUCAUCCUCACAGUGAGCUGAUACACACACCACUGCAGUGCCCACACAGCCUUUUUUGACAAGUCCCGCCCUUGUCACUUGUGAUUGGAUGAUGGCAAAGGAUACAAGCAAGCACAUAUGAAAGUGACAGUACAGAGCGGUGCUAACGAAAGAGCAAAGCACCUGCUUUACUUAUAUAGAUAAGUUAAAGAGGUGGUAUUAUUCUU